CUCCCCCUUGAGCUCCGGUCGCGCCUCCCCCACGUUCUCGCUGCCGACGCCGCCGCUCUCGCCUCCCCCUCGCGCCCGGCCUGCUCUCCGCCUCGACAUCUGCUAGAUCAAAUCAAGUCGCUGGAGCCCCGCCAAACAGCAGCUCCGGCCGCCGAGCGCCACGAAAUUCCAGCCAUUCCCGUGCGAUAUAUUUCGGUAUUUUCCCAAGGACUCUUUGAUGCAACUUUAAUGGGAGUUUCCUGGCACCAAUACGCGACUUUGCUGGUGCUAAUCCUUUAUACUUGUCAUGACAAAGGUUGAUCUCCUUCCUAGAGACAUUGAUUUGAACUGCAUAGGUGAAUGGGUUGUCGAGUCAAUUGUCAAGAAGAAGCUUAAUGUCCUUAGUGUUCAUUUGACAAGCUCAAGUCAUCGGCAUCAUAGGGCUGUAUCAGAGAUUCAGUGGGAAAAGAAGGAUAUCAAGAGGGAGGAGCACUGAAUAAUGGUUUGAUGUUUUAACCGUAUAGAGGUAAUUGCCAACUCCACGGUUUGCAUGAUGAUGCAGCUGAGAUUGUUACUUGAAACAGCAAUGAUUAUUUUGUUGUUUUGUAGGUGUCCAGAGUGGAAAAUGAAAUGUAAAUGAUUACUGCAUAUAUAAAUCCUGUUUUAGCAGUUACUGCUUAGUUUCUAGAUUCAAAUGUUAAGAAAAGGAAAAUAAUAGUCAGUACAAAAGAAUUCUAUGCCAUGUGAACGGCGUUCUAUCAAAUUUCCCUCCCUUCCAUUGCCUUCGUGAUGUUCUGUGUAUUGCACUCAAAAGUUUGCCAUAGGAAUACUAGGGCACGAUAUGGCCAUUGUUCAACCCCAAUAAGUUCUAUAAGCUUGCAAUGCUACUGCUUUCAUGGCAUGGAGUUUCUGUCUUCCACUUCAACAUACCCAGUCAACACUAUAAAAACAGAGAUUUGGAUGAAAAAAUUAUGUCGUGCACUCCUAACAUUCGAUCAUGCAGCAGUGAGUUUAAUGGAAAAAUAUGUGUAUUGCAUAUUUAUAUUUUGUAACUGCUUUCCACCAAUGUAGAAUAUUAUCUUAAUCGUAUAGUAGACCAAGAUAUGAAACACAGUUGGUGGGUUGGAUACUAUAGUGCUCCUACUAGUUUAAUAUAUAACCAGUAGGGGAUAUCACCCCUCCUGUUGCCUCAAAAAAAAAAAACAAGGCAAAGUCAUGCUUGAAAUAGGCAAUAGCUGAAGACACUGAUAGAGAUAAAAAUGGAGCUACUUCUUGUUUUGCAACUCACUGAACAAAGUACUCAUGCUUGUAGUGAUGUUCCUUGAAUCUGCAGGCUACAGGUGGCACCAACGAAAAUCAUGCAGCGACAGUUCUAGGGGGAAAUCUAAAUAUAUAUAUGUUCUCUUUCACAUCUUAGUUAGGUGUUCUUUUUUUUCAUGUCUUGUGUUUUGAGCUGUACAUCUUUAACACCUUGUCUGACAAAUGGUAUCGAAACUAAAGUUAAAGUAAAAGUGCAAACUAUUCUGGGCAUGCUUCCUCUUAUACAUCAGAGACUAGGAGCUGACCAGCUAGAUCAGCUCCUCUUCUCUCGUGCAAUCCUAUCCUAAACACAAAGAUCCUUAUUGUAACCAUUACAAAGCAAGCAACCAAACAAAACGCACCAUGUUUCUAGUGUUUACAGAACAUACUAAGCUUGUCGCUUGUCAGUUUCCUUCUUCAGUUCUUCCUUAUGCUAACAGCAGCGUGGAGGCUGCUCCAGUCAAUCCCACCCUCUAUGGGCAGUGUCCUCUGUCUCUGAUCUUCUUGGUUCUUUGUUUUUCUGAUCAAGCACGUCACAGAGAAACCAUUAUGUGGUCAGUUCUUGCACUCUACAGUUCAUAAGCUGUAAGACAAUUCGAUAUUGAACACAACUUACUUCUCCAUAUUCAGUUUCUCCAUGACCUGCCAGGUAAGCCUGGGGCCUUCAUCAAGGCCUUCGCACAGCAACUCGCCAUUCUCAUCAGUGUAGCAGACGAUUCCCAUGUUCUUGUCCUCAUAAACCUGAUAGAUAAGUUCCAGAUCAGAAAAGAAUAGCAAUGUUUUAGAUGAUCAUGCUCAUUAAAGGUUACAUUUUGGAAACAACAGGUAUAUACCUUAUUGACCUUGCCAGUGAAGCUGACAGAGUUGAGGCUUUUCUUCGAUUCGGAACUUGAGCAGGCAUCCAUGGAGGCUCUGAUCAUCGUCGUCCUUAAACUCUUCCUCCUCGGAACAACGGUUGCAGUAGCUGAAAGGCAGUAGCACCUUAAUGCAGACAUGGAUGAUGGGGUUGGAGGAGAGUUGGCGUUGCAGCAACCAUAGAAGUAAUCAAGGGGUUGCUGUCAUCGAAGUGUCCAUUAGUGGUGAUGGUGGUGGUGGUGGAUAUAGUUUUAUACAAGGAUGUUAGGUCGAUGAAAGGCCUGGUGAAGACGAUGAUUGGUUACUUGAUUAGGUGGUAUAAAUUAACACAGUUGCUGAGCUGUGACAUUGUUGGUUCAUUGACGGCAACUCAUGUAUCAUUAUUGGGUAAAAUAUUCUUCUUUAUUAAGGUAUGGCUGUUGACAA